rnacentral:piRNA from 1 species
UGUCCUGUACUGCCUAAAAGUCUGGGGA